CUUUUAGUUGACUUUUAACGAGGGGUUGUUUCCUGGGUCUCUGAUAGCAUGUACUGUAGCUGGGGUUUUACUUUUGUUUCGUUGAGAUCCAUCCUCUGUCAAGAAGUCUGAAGCGACUUUAAAAUAGGUUUUUGAAUUCCUAUUUAAAAAACAAUUUAUAAAAGCAUUGCAACAAGGUAUACCUCUAUUUUGCCACAAUGCGUUUCGGGAUUGUGUUUGAAUCGUGUCCGUCCAAGAACUUCCCCCCCCAAAGAUGUGUAUAGUUAUCGGUUAAAAAUGACUGUUUCUCUCUCUCUCUCUCUCUCUCUCUUUCUGUCCCCCCCGCCCUUCCCCUUUCUCUCUGGAAAUAAAGAGGAAAAAAGGAAAAAAAAAUGUUUGCUCUUGCAUUGCAAAAUUAUAAAGUAAUUUAUUAUUUAUUAUCCGAAGACUUGCCACUUUUCUUGUCAUUUGACUUACUUUUUUUGUUUGCUGAAGAAAAAAAACAGAAGAAAAAGGUUGUACCGUGGUCUUUGAAUUAUAUGUCUAAUUCUAUGUGGUUUUGUCUUUUUUUUUUCCUUCUUAAAUAUUCUGUGAAAUAAAAGCGCCAUAUGUAGAAUGAUUAUAUCUUCAGGACUAUUUCACUAAAUAAGCGUUUGGAAUAGAGAAAAUAAGACAAAAGGAAGGAAAAUCCCCUCUUUUAUAUAUUUACAAGUUAGCAGCUAAAUACCUGAAAUAAAAUAUUGCAUGCAAAUCAGGUCUUUCUCCAAUACAGUGUGUGAGAUAUUUUAUUGCAAGUAUUAAGGAUCGGCUUGUAAAUUCCGUUUCAACCAUUAUAUCAGGGCUAGAUUGAUGCCUUAGCUUUCAAUUGAUAACACGACGAGCUUUCCCGUUCCCCCUCCUCCCCUAAAGUGAUAUUACUCUAGGCAUGAACUGACAUCAUGUUAAGACACGUAAAAAAACCCUCAGUUUUUCUGAGUUUUAUUAUUAAAAAAAGAAAAAUAAUAAUAAAAAAAGAAAACAAGUGCUGUAUACCAAAGCCUGGUUGUUAAGAUUGCUGAAGUGACCUGUAUUUAAAGCAUACAGAUAAAAGGGAAGCAUUUCGCUUAGCAAGUCAAGUAUGAUCAUUAUUUAUCUGUGUCUGCUGUCAAACCGAUUGAAAAAUGCUGCAGGAAGAACAGGGCUGAGGGGAUGUCUCUCUGAAAUCGCACGAUUGGCGUUUCUUAUUUUCUUUCCACUUCCUUUCCCCCUCCCUCUUUUCUUCCCUUUUUUUUUUAAUUCUCAGGGAGGGGGUUGGGAGAUGGUGGUGAAAGCUAGAAACGUGGGCGAUUUCUUGGGGAAAAGCAGAGGGAAAAAAAUAGGAAAGAGUUGUUUUUGCUCCAAUUCAAGUAUUCCCGUGUGCUCUCAGCCAGCACAGGACAAAGGCUCGCUUUAAAAAAUCCUUAACAACUGGAAUAUACAGAUUUCUAGUCUGACAAAGACAAGUUGGUUUGCAUGAUAGUUACUCCAAAGCCUCAUGUUUUCUUAACAUAACCUUCCUUUCUUUCCCCCACCCCCAUCCCAACCCACCCCGAGCAAGCUAAGCUAUAGACAAACCAUUUCGACAUUAGGAAAAAAAAAUAAGGUUAAAAAAUGUCUAAUAGAAAGAUUUCGACUAUCCUGAUUAGAAAACUGGAUUCAUUUUGUAUGCUCAAGUGUAAUACAUUUUUGAAUACUUGAUAAAUAUUUAAAUAAAUAUGAAAUCUACAUUAAACUGUGUAACACUUAUGUUUUAAUACAGGAAGCCAGGUUUGGUAGACUAGGUUGAGGGGGAGGAGGGCACUGGUCCAGCGUGUAAGUCCCUGCAGUUGUUCCUAGUUGUUGUUGGAAGGAGAUUGUUUGGCUUUGGAGGCUUCAGACACUGAAGAGCAUCUUUGCUGAAGUUAAACUGUAACCAGGGGCAAAAUCGAGCGAGCCCUUAACUUUUUGUCUCUUGUUUUCGACAAAAUCUGGCUGCAGGCUCUUCACGUGCCCAUAGGAAACACCGUCUCCGCACACUGAAAAUUCAAGCAGCACAAGGCUUGCGUGUUGACUGAUGUGCUUAAUUGGUGACAAAUCAUCCUGUUCAGCCCUUCUGGCUCAAGGCAAUUGGGCAGAGUGGAUUCAUGAUUUACAGUCCUGCCUGGAGAUGAGAACCCGUCCCUCAUCCGCGUGUGUAUGCUAUGCCAUGGCACAGGUAUAUCAUUACAUCAUUCCGGGAGUGCCUAGUUCUCGCUCCUAAUGCGAUUCCCUCUCGAUUGCCAUUAUUGAACCAUCCCAUCCUUGCUCUGAAUUCUUCCUUCCGGGCACUGUCAUGUAUUUUUCCUCAGCAAAAUUAUAUCCCCAUUGAAAACUCUCCGGCUCUUCCCGAGGCUGGUUCCCUGGGGAUGUAUUGCAUACAUCUCCCGCUCCCUCCCAGCCCCCCCAUGCCACCCAGACGCGCGGGCGUUGGAAAGGAUUGAUUAGUUCUGCUAAGAGGCGCUUGUUGUCUAAUGUACCUGGCCAUAAUUAAAAGCAAGUCUCUUGGUCGCUGUAGAGUCCUUCACUUUUCUGGUUUAACUCUCCUUGCCUUGGAGCCACGUUUCCACCCCAGGCGCUGAGAAGCGGUGGAUUGCAGGGCAAACUGCUCCUGCCGCCUGAUGUUAGUUCAGUUUUAGUGACUGCGCUGUGAUCGCCGGGCUCCUGAGCGGGGGCAGCGGGAUUUAUGCAAGAGACAGAGGGAGACCUCAUCCUUGCCUCCGUGCACCCAUCCCUGCUAUUCAAUUCGCUACUUUUUCCUCUAUUUUAAGGGCGGUAAUUACCCAGCCCAGCUGCUCUGCCUCUCCUCUUGCUGUCCUGUCUUUUGUAUCAUAAAAGAGCAGCAUAUAUGCUCAUAUAAAGAGCAGCACGUGUUAUAACUGCGGGCCUUCGAAGUAUUGCUCUUUACUUAUAGGCAUCUUGAUGUGAUGGUCUUGGAUAAUUGUUUAAGGUGAUCAAGAAUUUUGGUCAGAUAAAAAACAUUCUGAUUUCAGUAUUUUUCUUUACUAGGUUUAACUAACUCUCAUCCUCCCCCAACCCGACUUUUGGACGAGAUGUAGACGAUGUGGGGUCUGAAUUUCAAUUUUGAGACAAGUCAAAUCUCUCAAAAGUAACAGCAAAUAUUCAGAGCUGGGUUGGAUCUUCUACGUGUUUGCAGAGGUCCUCAAUAUUUGAAGUUCAAAGCAACAACAUCUAUGAGGCUAUAGAUGCUGGAAGAUGGUUAAGCACUUCACUAGCUUAAGGCAGUAACUGGUCACUUUGAUUUUAUGUUUCAUUACCAAAAUGUUUUACUGCAGUUUUAUUCAGGUACUUGAAGUUAAACAAAGUUUGUAAGCAGCUAAUUAUAUCAUGGCCCUGUCAUUGUCUGUUGUAACUGCAGAUCUUCCAUACCUCUGAAAAAAAUCUAUCCCAUGGUAAGUCAUAUAUUAGGAUUUUAAUGUACUCUGCUGCAACAGAUCUUGUACAAUACCAUUCACAAAAAGUGUUUUAGGUUUUGUGUAUAGUUUAAAAUUCUUCUCAUCUUUGCACAUUAUUUGGGGGAAAAAACCUUGAAAGGCAUAAAAAUGAUGUAUGCAUAUCAUUUUUAAUUAUUUAUUAAUUAUUUUUCCCAAGAACUGAAGUUGCAAAAUUGUGCUGAAGUUCAGGGAAUGUUUGUUUUUAAAACAAAAACCUUCAGAUUUUCAAUAAAGGUUGAUAACUUCAA